UCACUUGCAGCUGCAUCCAUUGGUAGUGUAGUCAUGUUACCUAAAAAGCAUCUAUCUGGUCAUCAGAAAAGAACUAACAAGAAACGAAUAGAGAAGUUAGUUUGAUCUCAGAAAGGGGCUAUGAAUAAAUUCGUGCUGAGGAAGGAUGCUGCUACGAAUUCUGCGCAAUUAUAUAUCACCAAUGGCGAACAACCAGAUCAGACUGAGAAUGCAGUUGAGGAAAAUUGUGCCGAUGUUGAUGCCAAUCAGAGCACCGGAAAAUUUAGUGGCCAUGGAAACAUAGAUGAGCAGGCUUCUUCUUUUGAUAUUUUUGAUCCUAGAACUUGGAAUAUUCUUGACAAUAAAUCAAGAGAUACUCUCAUUGAAAAAGGACCUACAAGGGAGUACAAUCUUGUGUUUUCCGUGGAUAAGAAAGGCAGGCAUUUUUCAUAUGCUUACUACUCAAGACAGCUAAGGAAUGGUGAGAGUGAUCGGAGGUGGUUAGUGUACUCUAAACAUGUGAAUAAAGUUUAUUGUUUUUGCUGCAAAUUGUUCAAAUCUGAGAACAGCAAAAGUUUGCUAGCAUCCGAGGGAUUGAUGGAUUGGAAACAUCUUAGUGAGAAGCUCAAAUUACAUGAGAAUGGUGCUGAGCACAUCACUAACAUGAAUACUUGGAAUGAGGUAAGGUUGAGGCUAAGUAAGAAGGAAACAAUUGAUAAAGAUUUGCAAGAAGAGAUUGCAAGGGAGAAGAAGCGAUGGAGACAAGUUUUGAUUAGAAUUGUUGCUGCUGUGAAAUUUCUUGCUAAACAUAAUUUGGCUUUUCGAGGAGCAAAUGAGAAAUUAUAUCAAGAUAACAAUGGGAAAUUUUUGGGAGUAAUUGAAAUGAUGGCAGAUCCUGUAAUGCAAGAGGAUCUUCGGCGCAUUCAUAAUAAUGAAAUCCAUCAUCAUUAUCUUGGCCAUAAUAUUCAGAAUGAGUUAAUUUCCCGUCUUGCUCGCACGGUUAAAGAUUCUCUCUUGAAGAUAAUCAAGGAUGCAAGGUAUUUCUCUGUCAUUUUAGGCUGUACCCCUGAUGUGAGCCAUCAAGAACAAAUGACCCUAAUUGUGAGAUGUGUAAACAUGUCAAGUGCCAGUACAAAAAUAGAGGAGUUUUUUCUAGAGUUCAUGAAGGUGGAUAAUACAUCGGGACUUGGACUUUAUAAUGUGUUAAUAGAUACACGUGAAUCUAUUGGUUUGAAUGUUCAAGAUGUUCGUGGACAAGGGUAUGACAAUGGUUCGAACAUGAAGGGGAAAAACCAAGGGGUACAGGGCAGAGUGCUUGCAACUAAUCCAAGAGCAUUGUACAUGUCGUGUGCUUGUCACAGCCUGAAUGUUAGUCUUAGUGGUAUGGCAAAAUCUUGCGGUAAAGCUAUAACUUUCUUUGGUGUUGUGCAAAGAAUUUACAUAUUGUUUUCAAGCUCUACUAAAAGAUGGCAGCUAUUGCUUAAUCAUGUUCCAAAAAUGACAGUUAAGUCUUUGUGUAACACACGAUGGGAGAGUCAAAUAAAGAGUGUUCAUGCUAUCAGAUAUCAAGCACCUGAG
rnacentral:rRNA from 1 species